AGCAAUAAUUUCCUUGUCACUUGAAUGUGACUUCCGAUUGUCAAAAUGACUCUGAGACAAUGGUUCGGUGCUGCCUGAUGGCACAAAGUAGAAUUGUGAAGCUGAUGCCAAAAGUAUGUCAACUUAAGUCAGGAGAAUGACAAAAGCUCCAAGGAAUCUCAAUCGUUGAGAAGGCAGGCCAGGCUACUAAACUGGCACACAGAGACCCAGCCAAGAACCUAGAAGGAUAGAAGAAUGCAAGCCCACCUGGGACUGGGAACUCUGAUGGUCUCCUUCAUCCUUGGUCUCCAGCAUGGAGAAAUUUCAGGUACCUGAUCAUUAUUUCUUGACAAGACCCAGUUGUACUUCCCUCUGUUGAGUUACCAGUGAUUUUUCCCUGGAAGCUUUUUAAUAAAAG
rnacentral:lncRNA from 1 species